UUGAAUAAAUAUAGAAAAGAAACAUCUACUUAAAAGACAGUAGAAUAAACAAAUAAAGUGAAUAAUAAAAGGAUUGACAAGGCAAUUCUAAGGUAGAAACGUUUUCCUUACGUUCUGCAUACUAAAUUGUCAUUAGUUUAAUUUGUUUGUAGAAAUAACAUGAACUGCCUGGUCAUGCUUUUUUGCUACUCCAUUUAACUGUAGACAUGAAGGUCAGAGAAGUUAGUGUAGGAGUCCCAAACCAGUAUACUUUACUGGCUUUAGAUAUAGAUGCUGAAGUUUCUUUAUCAUUUCCACUGUAUACUGGUAAUGGUUAAGAUCUAUUAUGUGAUUACUUGAGAUUAUGUGCUUUCGAUGGCAAAUUUUUGCUUUAACUCUGUUUUAAUAUAACAGUACAUCAAGCAUCUUGCUUUUAAAAUGGCUAAAUCAGGAUGGAAUGUGUGUGAGCAGUCAUCGAGAGUGUCAAUAACUGAAACACAAAUGCUAGAAUCGAGGAGUAAUCAUGUUCUUAUGCUUGACAAGACUAAAAAAUGUUAAUGUAUCAGGAAACACAAACACUUUGGCUGGAAAUGUUCCAACAAAGCAUUUUGGAGAUCUAAGAGGGUUGAAUAGUUUAAACUGCAUGGGAGAGAAUUUGAUGGCGCCACAGCAAAGGCUCUCUUCCCUCCAUUUCAGAAGUACAUUACCAAAGGCUAUGCAUCUGAAGAUGCGGGAAAGUGACUUGCACAGAGUAGUCAAACUAAGCAAACUUGGACACCUUUAUCCCUAGCAUUUUUCAGGGACUGAAUCA